rnacentral:rRNA from 1 species
UACGAAGGGUGCAAGCGUUGUUCGGAAUUACUGGGCGUAAAGCGUGCGUAGGCGGUUUGAUAAGUUGGGAGUGAAAUCCCGGGGCUUAACUCCGGAAUUGCUUUCAAAACUAUCAAUCUAGAAUAUGGUAGGGGACAGUGGAAUUCCUAGUGUAGAGGUGAAAUUCGUAGAUAUUAGGAGGAACACCAGUGGCGAAAGCGACUGUCUGGGCCAUUAUUGACGCUGAGGCACGAAAGCGUGGGGAGCAAACAGG